GGGAAAGAGGGCAGAUGCAUGAACAUGAGGAUAUAAAAGGUUGGGCUAAAGAACAAGAAGGGCAGAUGACUGUAGCCUUCUGAAGCGAUGUGAUGUUACUCUGUAUGGGCAGGCAUCUGAAGCCUUCUGAUGUGAUUGCUCAACUGAAUGCCCUUAUAAACAUGCUGUUAGGGGAACUCACCCCUGGUGAUCAUCAGAACAUCAUGACAAUAUGCACAAUUGAUGUACAUGCGAGGGAUGUUGUAGCCACGCUUAUAGCACAGAAGGUAAUUUGUUGCAGAGCAAUUACACUA
rnacentral:lncRNA from 1 species